CAGUAGCCGCGGUAAUACGAAGGGGGCUAGCGUUGUUCGGAUUUACUGGGCGUAAAGGGUGCGUAGGCGGACUGAUAAGUCAGGGGUGAAAUCCCAAGGCUCAACCUUGGAACUGCCUUUGAUACUGUUAGUCUUGAGUUCGAGAGAGGUGGGUGGAACUGCGAGUGUAGAGGUGAAAUUCGUAGAUAUUCGCAAGAACACCAGUGGCGAAGGCGGCUCACUGGCUCGAAACUGACGCUGAGGCACGAAAGCGUGGGGAGCAAACAGGAUUAGAUACCCCAGUAGUCCCUGUCUCUUAUAC
rnacentral:rRNA from 1 species